rnacentral:rRNA from 1 species
UCGAGAAUCUUUCGCAAUGGGCGCAAGCCUGACGAAGCGACGCUGUGUGAGCGAAGAAGGCCUUCGGGUUGUAAAGCUCUUUCGCUAGGGAACAAGAAAGCUGGGAUAAUACCCCGGCGAUUUGAUGGUACUUGGUAAAGAAGCACCGGCUAACUCCGUGCCAGCAGCUGCGGUAAUACGGAGGGUGCAAGCAUUGAUCGGAAUUACUGGGCGUAAAGGGCGCGUAGGCGGUCUAGAAAGUCAGAUGUGAAAUCCUGGGGCUCAACCCCAGACCUGCAUUUGAAACUUCUAGUCUAGAGUACAAUUAGGGAAAACGGAAUUCCACGUGUAGCGGUGAAAUGCGUAGAUAUGUGGAAGAACACCGGUGGUGAAGACGGUUUUCUGGGUUGUCACUGACGCUGAGGCGCGAGAGCUAGGGGAGCAAACAGG